GGGCGUUAAGUUGCAGGGUAUAGACCCGAAACCCGGUGAUCUAGCCAUGGGCAGGUUGAAGGUUGGGUAACACUAACUGGAGGACCGAACCGACUAAUGUUGAAAAAUUAGCGGAUGACCUGUGGCUGGGGGUGAAAGGCCAAUCAAACCGGGAGAUAGCUGGUUCUCCCCGAAAGCUAUUUAGGUAGCGCCUCGUGAAUUCAUCUCCGGGGGUAGAGCACUGUUUCGGCUAGGGGGCCAUCCCGGCUUACCAACCCGAUGCAAACUGCGAAUACCGGAGAAUGUUAUCACGGGAGACACACGGCGGGUGCUAACGUCCGUCGUGAAGAGGGAAACAACCCAGACCGCCAGCUAAGGUCCCAAAGUCAUGGUUAAGUGGGAAACGAUGUGGGAAGGCCCAGACAGCCAGGAUGUUGGCUUAGAAGCAGCCAUCAUUUAAAGAAAGCGUAAUAGCUCACUGGUCGAGUCGGCCUGCGCGGAAGAUGUAACGGGGCUAAACCAUGCACCGAAGCUGCGGCAGCGACGCUGAUGCGUUGUUGGGUAGGGGAGCGUUCUGUAAGCCUGUGAAGGUGUGUCGUGAGGCAUGCUGGAGGUAUCAGAAGUGCGAAUGCUGACAUAAGUAACGAUAAAGCGGGUGAAAAGCCCGCUCGCCGGAAGACCAAGGGUUCCUGUCCAACGUUAAUCGGGGCAGGGUG
rnacentral:rRNA from 1 species